rnacentral:sRNA from 1 species
GCUGGGCAUGGUGACGCAUGCCUGUAAUCCCAGCUACUUGGGAGGCUGAGGCAGGAGAAUUACUUGAGCCCGGGAGGUGAGGGUUGCAGUGAGCUGAGAUUGCACCACUGCACUCCAGCUUGGGCAACAGAGCGAGAUUCCAUCUCAA